UACGAGGGGAGCAAGCGUUGUUCGGAUUUACUGGGCGUAAAGGGCGCGUAGGCGGCAUGACAAGUCACUUGUGAAAUCUCCGGGCUUAACUCGGAACGGUCAAGUGAUACUGUCGCGCUAGAGUGCGGAAGGGGCAAUCAGAAUUCUUGGUGUAACGGUGAAAUGCGCAGAUAUCAGGAGGAACACCGAUGGCGAAGGCGGGUCUCUGGGCCACUACUGACGCUGAGAAGCGAAAGCAUGGGGAGCGAACAGG
rnacentral:rRNA from 1 species